ACUGAACGCUGGCGGCAUGCUUUACACAUGCAAGUCGAGCGGCAGCGCGGGGGCAACCCUGGCGGCGAGCGGCGAACGGGUGAGUAAUGCAUCGGAACGUGUCCCGUAGUGGGGGAUAACGCCGGGAAACCGGCGCUAAUACCGCAUAUGCUCUACGGAGGAAAGGGGGGGACCCGCAAGGGCCUCCCGCUAUGGGAGCGGCCGAUGUCCGAUUAGCUUGUUGGUGAGGUAAAGGCUUACCAAGGCGACGAUCGGUAGCUGGUCUGAGAGGAUGAUCAGCCACACUGGGACUGAGACACGGCCCAGACUCCUACGGGAGGAAGCAGUGGGGAAUUUUGGACAAUGGGGGCAACCCUGAUCCAGCCAUGCCGCGUGCGGGAAGAAGGCCUUCGGGUUGUAAACCGCUUUUGUCCGGAAAGAAAAGGCAUUCCCUAAUACGGGGUGUUCUUGACGGUACCGGAAGAAUAAGCACCGGCUAACUACGUGCCAGCCGCCGCCGUAA
rnacentral:rRNA from 1 species